AUGAAUGUAACCUACGAACUGGUGAGAAUCGAAUUGCGGGGUUUACCGUUCAACAUACCUUUUCUUUACCCUCUCUAAUUGUACUGUUAUUUCAAGAGUAAUGCUAGCUAGCGCGGUGUUAAAACAUCUAUCUAAAUGUCACACCUUAACAUUGCAAGGCAUUAAUGAAAUUAAUCCGAGGUUAAAGAGCAUAAGAUUGCGUCAUGCCGUCUGCUUUUGGCGCUCAUCGAGGCAGAGGCUGACCUCGCAUUUCUCUCUGCGUGCUACUCUGUGUGUGUGUGUGUGUGUGCGUGUGCUGGAUUUUAGAAUGGAGUUUUCAAAUCCUCUGCUCCGAAAGUACCGCACCGAUCGGGGGAAGGUUCUCGAGUUUCUACUAUAAGCGGGAGUGAUUAAAGAAAUCAAAACUCCGGCCGGCCUCACCGCUUCAAUUUCGAUUCUCUGAGCUUACGUACUUGAAUGCAUUAAAUCGGGUAAUUUAAUUUAUGUGAGAAGUUAAUAUUGCUGGAUAGGUAUUCAAAUUUUGUCCAUCUCUGGAAUUACGGGCCUCACUACCUCAAUUUCUAAGUUCCAAUUUCGAUUCUCUUAGUAUUUCGAUUCAAGAAAUAGUUAAGGUCGAGCAUUUCAAUUGAUAAAUUUCUUGUUGAUAUGCAUUUAUGCGAGAUCUUCCUUCCCCCUUGCGUCUUACCAAGAACUUUGAUAGCUCGAGUUAGGAGCUCAUAUGCAUCUACGCCAUAAUGUGGUUAGACAACUGCUAAUGGAUGGAGUAUUAUUACUUGAGUUUCCGAAAUCAACAGGAUAUUGGCGAACCAUUUGACUGAUUAGCCAUGCUAUUGAUAAAUAUAUUGAGAGAGCCAUUUAAGUGUGCCACAUGUAAUGGCAACCCACCUAUGCGAAUACAGAUAUCAAGAUGUACGUUCAAUGGACAAAAACAAGUCAUUUGAGUAGUGGAGGCACUGCCAUAUGCGAAUGCGAGUUCCAAAUAUGUUCCAUCGUCGUGGCUUAGAUAGUGCAACUGCACAUGGGAGGUUGAGCUUAAAGCUCUUAAUGGAUCCAUAGCCCUUUAGAGUGACAUUUCUUUUUCCUGUUUAUGAUUGGUGGAAUCCGCCUAUAUGAAUAUGAGAUUGGGACUGCCUUCUAUGAGAAAUUAGACCAAUUUCUCUAGAGUAUUCAUGAAUAACCUGGUAGGGCACAUAGUCUAAACGUGCCAACUUGAAGGCUCUUUUAUAUCUGAAGCUGAUACGUGUCUUGGAUAUAUAGCUGAUUUAGACUCAAGAAGUUUGUUCAAAGCUUAAUUUCACCCCACUUCUGUAAAUCCAAUCUAAGAGUUGAUUCAAGUCAAAAGACAUCAGCAUUAAUGUGUGUCAAUUUCUUCAAUCUGACUAGAGCUCCAUUAUUUUAUCGUGUUAUUUCUCAAAUUUUGAAUAAUGAGGAGGAUUGUUAUGUAUGUAUAUGUGUGUGUGUGUGUGUGUGUGUGUGUGUGUAAUAUGUUAUUAUAAUGCAAGUUUUGAAGUUAUGAUCUUUUCACCUUGGAGUUAUGAAUUUAUCACUUUAGUUUAAUGUUUAUGAGUUAAACAUAUAGAAUUUCAUGGUUAUUAGAUCUAAAAAAUGAGGCUUGAUAAAUCUAAAAGGCGACGUUCUUAAAUACUUUGGCAUGUUUCUAUGCAUUAAAAAAGCCAUCAUUUGUAGGAUGAGAAUCACAACUCCCAGAUUUGUCUUUUCCUAAUUUUUUUUGUAUACUUUACCUAUCUGAGCUCUAAUUGGAUGCUUAAGAAAGUCCUCCUUGACCUUCUCUGGGGAGUGCAUCCUUAGCUGUGGUUCACUGGUUGUUGAAUCUUGGAAGCAGGUCGCCUAUUCCUUAUUGCACCAGAUUACGUAUCCCGAGGAGCAAUCUAUCUUAAGGAUAGCGAUUUUUUUUCAUUGAAUUCAAACCUGUUUCAUUUUGUUGUGUGCGUUAAUUGUGCUAAAAGAGGGACAUUUUUCCUUGCUUUCACAUAUUGUAGCAAAAAAAAUAUAAAAAAAUUGAAUCAUAUUUGCAUCUUGUAUUGUUCAUGAUUUAAAGGUUCUAAACAUUUGAGCAGUAGCAUUGAUCGAAAAAUUCUUCUUUUUAGAAAGAUAAGAUGAACAAUUAGUGUUUAGCAUCUUAAAUUUGUACGAGUCUCAUUUGUGUGACUGUACAUGUGCAACUAGCAUUGUUCUUCUUAUCUUGAGACAUUAUAAAGUUUUGCAUUUUGUUACCGAACCAUUAGAUCUGCUCAACCAUUCAGUAUGUUGAUAGUCCCUAUUCAUCAUCACUUGUCUGGGCUUUAGACUCCCUUAUUCCCAUAACAGCAAAAUUCUUAGCAGAGUAGGUCUCAAUUCUCACAUUAUCAAGUAUGUUCUGACCAGGAGAAAAGGCGUAACUAUGUGGUGAACCAGCUCUUACAUGCCCUUGGGAAAACUCAUUCCUCUCCGGCAACAUUUUCACCGGAAUUCCAAUCACCAUAUCACUCACAUUCCCAUCUGGCGUCAUCACCGGCCGAGGAGGGUGUGG
rnacentral:lncRNA from 1 species